CCCCCACUGCACGGUAAUAUCACUGGCAUUUCUUGAGUAGAAGCAGCUGCUGACACAAGAGAAAAGGUCUCCAGAGAAAGAACUUUUUUGUCAUCAGCUGCAAUGAGCCGGAGGGAAUUAGCCAAGCUAAUUGGAAAUUAAUAUGGACCCGAUCAGAACAUCACAUGGCUGAGAUCAGGACACCUCCGACCAUCAACAGGUGACCAUCUGCAGGAAGACCAUAUUCAAACGACACAACAGCAGCAGAACAAACAUCAGGAGGACCACUACCAGCAGGACCAACAUCAGGACAAACAGCAGCAGGACCAACAUCAGGAGGAGCAGCAAAUGGGCCGAGUGCCAGCCAGUAUGCAAUCAUUGCACGGGCUUCAAACUCAUGAUACUAGACAGCAUCCGUAGAGCCAUUCUUGCUCACCUUCCAACCUACAGGAGAUGCACCUUUUGAGAAGGAGGAUCAAUAGAGUCCUGUAGUAUCUGCCAUUCACAGUUUGAGUGUGGAGAAGAAGUAGCCCAUGUUAUCUUACCAGCAUGAUUUCCACAUAUCAUGCUUGACACAAUGGCUGCAGAUUAACACCAUCUGCCCCCUGUGCUUUGCACAAUGCUUCAAUUUAAGCAGAUUUUCCCAGCGUCAUCUCUAGAGGAAAUCAAAGAGACCAUUACCACCUUGACAAGCCAAGAUGAUAGCUGAGGAUGCUGUGUCUGAAUGCACACGUCUAGCUAAGCACCGAGACAGUUCCCAGCAAGACAGUGACCUCUUGGAAAGUGCAUACUUUUCAAAUUUCUGAGACCUUCUCUUUGAUACUGUAAGUACCCAAUCACCACAUUCUGGUGCUACUUAUCUUUA